CGCAGUCUGCAACUCGACUGCACGAAGCUGGAAUCGCUAGUAAUCGCGGAUCAGCACGCCGCGGUGAAUACGUUCCCGGGCCUUGUACACACCGCCCGUCACACCAUGGAAGUCUGCAAUGCCCGAAGCCGGUGGCCUAACCACUUAUGUGGAAGGAGCCGUCUAAGGCAGGGCAGAUGACUGGGGUGAAGUCGUAACAAGGUACC
rnacentral:rRNA from 1 species